rnacentral:rRNA from 1 species
UACAGAGGGUGCGAGCGUUGUCCGGAAUCACUGGGCGUAAAAGGCGCGUAGGUGGUGGCUUAAGCGUGCGGUGAAAGCUCGGGGCUCAACUCCGAGUCGGCCGUGCGAACUGGGCUCACUGGAGCAUAGUAGAGGCAGGUGGAAUUCCGGGUGUAGCGGUGGAAUGCGUAGAGAUCCGGAAGAACACCGGUGGCGAAGGCGGCCUGCUGGGCUAUGGCUGACACUGAGGCGCGACAGCGUGGGGAGCAAACAGG